rnacentral:rRNA from 1 species
UACGUAGGGAGCAAGCGUUGUCCGGAAUCAUUGGGCGUAAAGCGCGUGUAGGCGGUUACAUAAGUCUGUUGUGAAAGUCGGAGGCUCAACCUUCGAAAGCCGAUGGAUACUGUGUGACUUGAGUACGGAAGAGGAGAGUGGAAUUCCUGGUGUAGCGGUGAAAUGCGCAGAUAUCAGGAGGAACACCAACGGCGAAGGCAGCUCUCUGGGACGUUACUGACGCUGAGGCACGAAAGCGUGGGGAGCAAACAGG